rnacentral:rRNA from 1 species
GAUGGACAACAGGUUGAUAUUCCUGUACUACCGAUAACCGUUUGAGAGAAGGGAUGACACAGUAGGAUAAGCUAAGCACACUGUUGGUUAUGUGUGCCCAAGCAGUGAGGCAGUCAAAGUAGGCAAAUCCGCUUUGAUAAUGCUGGGAUGUGAUGGGGAGCGAAAUUUAGUAGCGAAGUAGCUGAUUUCACACUGUCAAGAAAAGUCUC